UUUUUACUGCGUUAGUGAUAGUAGUGAAUAACCCGCAGCUUUUUGCGAGGAUUAGUAACGUAUAGCACGGCGUUAA
rnacentral:sRNA from 1 species